rnacentral:rRNA from 1 species
UCUCUAGUCGAUAGAAUAAUGUAGGUAAGGGAAGUCGGCAAAUUAGAUCCGUAACUUCGGGAUAAGGAUUGGCUCUGAAGAUUGAGAUAGUCGGGCUUGAUUGGGAAACAAUAACAUGGUUUAUGUGCUCGUUCUGGGUAAAUAGAGUUUCUAGCAUUUAUGUUAGUUACUUGUUCCCCGGAUAGUUUAGUUACGUAGCCAAUUGUGGAACUUUCUUGCUAAAAUUUUUAAGAAUACUAUUUGGGUUAAACCAAUUAGUUCUUAUUAAUUAUAACGAUUAUCAAUUAACAAUCAAUUCAGAACUGGCACGGACUUGGGGAAUCCGACUGUCUAAUUAAAACAAAGCAUUGUGAUGGCCCUAGCGGGUGUUGACACAAUGUGAUUUCUGCCCAGUGCUCUGAAUGUCAAAGUGAAGAAAUUCAAGUAUGCGCGGGUCAACGGCGGGAGUAACUAUGACUCUCUUAAGGCCUCGUCAUCUAAUUAGUGACGCGCAUGAAUGGAUUAACGAGAUUCCUACUGUCCCUAUCUACUAUCUAGCGAAACCACAGCCAAGGGAACGGGCUUCUCGG